GUCCCUGUUUUACGGAUUUUUAAACUAUUUUUGUGUUUUAUUAAAAGUUAACAGUUAUGCAUUCAUACAUAUUAAGACAUACCAUACUGAAAAUCCUCUGAAAAUUGUAAAAAAUCGGCUUCUAAGAAGAAAAUGGUCACCACAAACUUCAUAUUCAUACUCAGCUUUGAAUUAACAUGAGCACAGAUUUGUUUAAUUAACAUCACUGAUUUGGGAAUACGACGAGCACCGGCCAUAAAUAUGUUGACUUUUUGUUAUAAUAAAUGUUGGAUGAACAACUACCAAAAUACAAAGAAAACUUUUGCUGUAUAUUGAAUAGCCAUAGGACUGAAGUUUAUAAAAUCAGCAGAGAAUAUUAUAUGGUAAUUUUUUCUACAAGAUAUGGAGUGAUUGAAUUUUACAGUUACUAUAUAAAAGAUAAAAAUAAGAUUGAAUAAUACAGUAAUAGUGAAUGUUAUUACAAUAUAAAUAUGAAUGUGAACAAAUGUUUUUUAUAAUGUGGAGUGUAGUUAGAGUUGAUUGAGGGCUGAAGUGC